AUGGCCCAGGUUGGCCCCGGCCCAGGGCCUCGGGCUCUGCCGCUGUCCUGGCCUGGCGGGCAGAGCCAGACGCACAGCCCGCGCCUCCCCACCUUCUGGGCUCUAACUCCGGGAACUGAAGCAGUGGGACUCCUGCUCAGGUUUGCUCUAAGUGAGCUCGAGAAUCUAUUGCUUCAGAACUCUCAGUACCAUGAAGUCAGUGGAAUGAUCACUGUCAAGAAUGAGUGCGCAACAGGGGAGCAAAUGACAUCAUUCAUCUCUGGCACAGUGGGAAUGAGUGGAGAUGGACGUGGUCAAGGAACAUUUCUUCACUCCAUGCUCUUAAUAAUUGAGAAACACAUGGGGAUACUGUUUCUAACCCUAACUACUGAAACAACAGGUGGACCUGGAAGUCAUUCAAGAACUGAGAUAAGCACAGCUUCUUUCAUAAAUGACCGGGGAGGUGAAAGUCUAGAAAAUAAACAGUGAACUUCUCACUUUGAAAUAGCAAUAAUUAUAGAGUAAUAAAUAUCAAAUACAUAAGAGAAAAAAGACAAAAUUAAAGACAUUUGUUGCAUUACAUGAAAAAAGCCAUGAGAUUAAAAAAUGUAGAGAUUUUGACUUCUUCUAAAUAAAAUUGAUAAGCAAGCAUUAAUGCUUUCCCCUCUGUACCUUCUGUAGUCACACACAAAUGGACCCACCCCAAACACACACACACACUCAGAGUUUACUUUUAACAAGAGUUGAAGCCAUACACAUUCGUGUUUGCAUUUGGAAACACAGACUGGGGAGAGCAUAAGGGAGGAACAUCUCAGGGGUUUCCAGAAGCAAAGUGGAUCAUGGCUCAGCUGAGCAGCUCCUCAAAAGCCACUCCCAGCUGUGCUCCAGUCUGCCCCACUGUGAAGGCUAAACUGCUAAUUGCUUUCCUUCCCUUUCUUGCAGUAAAGUGUAGGUAUAAGACCUAAUUCUGGGUCAUGCGGAGUACAUGGAAAUCUGCUGGGGUGUCUGUGAGAGAACUUUUGGGUCUCUGAUGAAAGGACACAUAUUUGCCUGGCGUGGCCUGGUGCCCACUGUUGCUUUAUCAUAGUCACUUAGACAUUGCACUGAUUCUUGUCAAUGCCAGAGCAAACUUAGUAGCUGAAGACAAUACAGAUCUGUUAUCUCACCAUCCUGGGUGUCAGAAGACUGAGACAGGACUCACCUGAUGGAAACCAAGGGGUAGGCAGUGCUCAGUUCCGUAGAGUUUCCAGAGAGAAUCUAAUUCUUUGCAUCUCACUGUGCGGGCUCUAGAAGCCACCACAUUCCUUACCUCUUAGCCCUUUCCUCUGUGUUCAAAGCCAGCAAUGAACUCUUGAA
rnacentral:lncRNA from 1 species